CAUCAUGAAAUCAUGUAUAAACUCCUAUCACAUUGUUCUUUCUCUCUAAUAAAACCAAUCGAAUGUGCAAAGAAAUCAUUGAAAUAAUAAGUCAGACUGGGUGUAGGUGAUCCACGUGUCCCAACUUCAACUUGUCCAACAUGUGAUCGCAUUUCCUGAUCUAACGUGGGGUGUAACAGGCCCUUUAUCUCCAAAAUAUAAAUCAAGCAACCUUUUAUUUGCCAUAGUCACUAUUUCUUUUCCAUCAUACGUCAAGCCCGUAAUGGGAAAAAUUAAAGAAUUGAGAAUCUCGAUACUUUCUCGUCCCCCAUGACAAAAUGCAGCUCAUUGCCGUCUACUGGUUAAGCAAUUGAAGUAAUAUAAAAUCAAUGAUCUGACCUGAAAACUAUAUGUCCUUCAAGUAUAGAAGGACCCUAGGAAUGAUCGGUGGAGUAUGGCAAUGUGCUCCUCAUCGACC
rnacentral:lncRNA from 1 species